rnacentral:rRNA from 1 species
AUUGAACGCUGGCGGCAUGCCUUACACGUGCAAGUCGAACGGCAGCACGGGAGCAAUCCUGGUGGCGAGUGGCGAACGGGUGAGUAAAGUAUCGGAACGUGCCCAGUCGUGGGGGAUAACGUAGCGAAAGUUACGCUAAUACCGCCUACGAUACAUGGAUGAAAGCGGGGGAUGGCAAGACCUCGCGCGAUUGGAGCGGACGAUAUCAGAUUAGGUAGUUGGUGGGGUAAAGGCUCACCAAGCCGACGAUCUGUAGCUGGUCUGAGAGGACGACCAGCCACACUGGGACUGAGACACGGCCCAGACUCCUACGGGAGGCAGCAGUGGGGAAUUUUGGACAAUGGGCGAAAGCCUGAUCCGGCCAUGCCGCGUGCAGGAUGAAGGCCUUCGGGUUGUAAGCUGCUUUUGUACGGAACGAAAAGGUUUGGCCUAAUAAGCUGAGCUCAUGACGGUACCGUAAGAAUAAGCACCGGCUAACUACGUGCCAGCCGCCGCCGUAA